rnacentral:rRNA from 1 species
GGUAGCACAGAGGAGCUUGCUCCUCGGGUGACGAGUGGCGGACGGGUGAGUAAUGUCUGGGGAUCUGCCCGAUAGAGGGGGAUAACCACUGGAAACGGUGGCUAAUACCGCAUAACGUCGCAAGACCAAAGAGGGGGACCUUCGGGCCUCUCACUAUCGGAUGAACCCAGAUGGGAUUAGCUAGUAGGCGGGGUAACGGCCCACCUAGGCGACGAUCCCUAGCUGGUCUGAGAGGAUGACCAGCCACACUGGAACUGAGACACGGUCCAGACUCCUACGGGAGGCAGCAGUGGGGAAUAUUGCACAAUGGGCGCAAGCCUGAUGCAGCCAUGCCGCGUGUAUGAAGAAGGCCUUCGGGUUGUAAAGUACUUUCAGCGGGGAGGAAGGCGAUGUGGUUAAUAACCNNNNCGAUUGACGUUACCCGCAGAAGAAGCACCGGCUAACUCCGUGC